GGGUCGUUAGCUCAGUCGGUAGAGCAUCUGCCUUUUAAGCAGAGUGUCACAGGUUCGAACCCUGUACGACCCACAA
rnacentral:tRNA from 1 species